CUCAUCAGCUGGGGGAGAAAUGGUGUGUUCGUUUCAGUUGCAUUCCUGUUGUUGGGAACGACGAAGAGCCACUGGACUGUGUGUUCCUGGAAGAAUGAUCCGGACCUCUAGGACCUCUCGUCCAACAUCCAGCCGAACACCCAGCACCGGCGUUGGGAGGCGCCUGGUGAGACCGCACCGCGCACCGCCUCCCCUCCCCUCCCCGUCGCCUCGGCGGCUCCCUCUGGCUGAGGAGGAAGCGCACAGCCCGGGAGACCCACCGAGGCCGGCUUCCUGCUCCUGUUUGGUGUCUGGUGCGGUGGCCCCGGGGGCUUGGCCGACGCCAGCGAGAGCGAGUCAGGCCUAGCCAGGGCGCUCCUAGGGCGCCAUCUCCGCACCCGGGCCCCUCCCCGCCUGGCCGGCGUCCCUCUCCUCUGAGCGGGUCCCGUGGGCGGCCUGCCAGGCCGUGAAGACCCCGGAGCCUUCGUGUGGCCCCAACCUCAGCCCCUGUGCGCACAACCACCUUUGUCGCAGCCACAGGCCCCUGGUCUCCUGGGGUGACCUCGCCCAGGGCGCAGGCUGCCUCCGCUGGCGGAAGCCGGUUGCUGAGGGUUGGAAUUGCACAGACUAAUCACACCCCGCCGGGGAGCCUUUGCGGGCCGGUGACUGGGAUGAGAUGAGGGUCCCUCAUGACCAGUGCACAGAGCAGGACGAAGCCUCCGCUUGGUAAAUGGAUGUGUUGCCGAUUUGAUGUAUGAGAUCACCACCAGCCUUCCCACCCCCAGAUCCAUGACAUGGACUGCUUUGUGACUUAGCAGAGACACGAAUUUGAACUACAAGUUCCUCGGCUGACCCUACUCAACACAUCCCCUUAAAGGAGUAGACCAUCCCCCAGGACAAGAAGAGACUGUCCACCUGAAUGCAGGCAUAAAACCUCCAAAGGAGAAGGUGUCCUUCAAAAGGGGUUAGUGGGCCAUUGAAGCCUAGAUCCAUGAGAGUCAGCAGCACAAACCCAGCAGGACAUCCUCAGCAGUGACAGAGGGCAAACACCAUCAUCUCUAGCCCUGAUCACAGCCACCAAGAGAGAUUUUUUUUUCAGAAUUUAAAUCAAAUCGUGUUAUUGCCCUGCUUACAACUCUAUUGGAUUCCCAGUGCACAGAGAACAAAAGUGAAACUCUUCACAGCAGAGCUGACAAGAGGCCUUGCAUUAGCUGGCUUCUUCCUCACUUCCUCUUCCCUUCGCUUUUAUGACCCAACCACCCCGUUCAAGCCAGGAUCUCUCUUACCUCCAGAUCUCCCCACAUUGUUGGAACACCCUACCCUUCAUCUGCAAAACUCCUAUUCAUCUGUCAAGUCUCCACAUCAUCAUCACCUCCUCAGAGAGGACCUCCAUGAUCAUGCAAUCCUUCUGCUUUAGCUGCCAGAAUGUAGAGAAGCGAACCUAGUCAUUUUCCCAUAUCACAGUGUGUAAUGACAUAUCUGAUUUGUUUGGUUUUUGUUUGCUGUCUCUCUCCCCUGUGGGGCUGUGAAUGCUCUGAGGACAGGAACUACAUUUGUAUUGCUCACCACUGUAUAACCAGUGGCUGGCUUACACUGAGCACUCAGCAAAUGUUUAUGAAAAGAACAGAUAAACUUUUGGGGGUCAGGCGGUCUUCUACAAUAAACAGGAGCUUCUCCAGAUGGUCUCCUCCCCCAGCCAGACCUCCAAGCCUUCUGGCAAGAGUGGGCCUUCACUUCUUCCAUGAUGGCUGCCUCAGCUUCUCAACAGAUAGGCAGGUGCUCUGGCCAAACCAGUUCAAUAAAACUCAUGUAGGUGCCUAUAGGAGCAAAGAAACCCCCAGCUGCCACCCAGGCUCUGAUCUCUUGGGCCAGGCUUACAGUGAGAGGGAUGUAGGCAAGGGAUGGUGAGACAGAGGGGCCCUGCGUUAGCAAGGUUCCCUCCUCCUGCUCCCUCCCCUCUCCCCCUCUGGCCCCCAGACACAUAAGCACACGAACACUCAGAGGCUCAAGUAACCCCUGCUGGGUCUGAUAGCUGACUGCUCACCAUGGUCUCCAGUCCCUGCCCCCUACUUCCAUCUCUCUCCAGGCCUCUACUCGCACAAACAUAUGAUAAGCCCCAGUUCCUGGAAGAACGAUCUUCGUAAAUUAAGUUAUCAUGAGUUAUGUGAACCCCCCAACCUGCAAGAGCCCAUGCUAGACUGGCUGUCUGCCUCCUGCCCUUUGCUUCUCACUUAAAGAGCCAAGUCACCAUGAAUUUUCUUAAUGAUACUUUAUGCGCCUGUGUUAGUCAUUUUUCUUCUCUUUCUAGCAGAGGCAGGGAGUUGUCUUAAGGGAAACAGCACAAUGUUACAGAAAAGACCCAGGCCUUGAAAUUAGACAGAACUGGAUUUGAAUAUUGGCUUUGCCACCCCACCAAAUAGACCUGGGGAAGUGUCUCAACCUUUCUGUGCCUGUUUCCUCAUCCUAUAUAAUAAAAGCCUAAGAUGCAAAUUGACCA